AUUGACCGCUUUCUUCCUUCCUAACACAUGUAAGUCGAGCGGAUGAAGGGAGCUUGCUCCUGGAUUCAGCGGCGGACGGGUGAGUAAUGCCUAGGAAUCUGCCUGGUAGUGGGGGAUAACGUCCGGAAACGGGCGCUAAUACCGCAUACGUCCUGAGGGAGAAAGUGGGGGAUCUUCGGACCUCACGCUAUCAGAUGAGCCUAGGUCGGAUUAGCUAGUUGGUGGGGUAAAGGCCUACCAAGGCGACGAUCCGUAACUGGUCUGAGAGGAUGAUCAGUCACACUGGAACUGAGACACGGUCCAGACUCCUACGGGAGGCAGCAGUGGGGAAUAUUGGACAAUGGGCGAAAGCCUGAUCCAGCCAUGCCGCGUGUGUGAAGAAGGUCUUCGGAUUGUAAAGCACUUUAAGUUGGGAGGAAGGGCAGUAAGUUAAUACCUUGCUGUUUUGACGUUACCAACAGAAUAAGCACCGGCUAACUUCGUG
rnacentral:rRNA from 1 species